CACUGCCGAGAAAAGCCUCUAGAUAGAAAAUAGGUGCCCGUACCGCAAACCGACACAGGUAGUCAAGAUGAGAAUUCUAAGGUGAGCGAGCGAACUCUCGUUAAGGAACUCGGCAAAAUGACCCCGUAACUUCGGGAGAAGGGGUGCUCUUUAGGGUUAACGCCCAGAAGAGCCGCAGUGAAUAGGCCCAAGCGACUGUUUAUCAAAAACACAGGUCUCUGCUAAACCGUAAGGUGAUGUAUAGGGGCUGACGCCUGCCCGGUGCUGGAAGGUUAAGAGGAGUGGUUAGCUUCUGCGAAGCUACGAAUCGAAGCCCCAGUAAACGGCGGCCGUAACUAUAACGGUCCUAAGGUAGCGAAAUUCCUUGUCGGGUAAGUUCCGACCCGCACGAAAGGCGUAACGAUUUGGGCACUGUCUCAACGAGAGACUCGGUGAAAUCAUAGUACCUGUGAAGAUGCAGGUUACCCGCGACAGGACGGAAAGACCCCGUGGAGCUUUACUGUAGCCUGAUAUUGAAAUUCGGCACAGCUUGUACAGGAUAGGUAGGAGCCUUUGAAACGUGAGCGCUAGCUUACGUGGAGGCGCUGGUGGGAUACUACCCUAGCUGUGUUGGCUUUCUAACCCGCACCACUUAUCGUGGUGGGAGACAGUGUCAGGCGGGCAGUUUGACUGGGGCGGUCGCCUCCUAAAAGGUAACGGAGGCGCUCAAAGGUUCCCUCAGAAUGGUUGGAAAUCAUUCAUAGAGUGUAAAGGCAUAAGGGAGCUUGACUGCGAGACCUACAAGUCGAGCAGGGUCGAAAGACGGACUUAGUGAUCCGGUGGUUCCGCAUGGAAGGGCCAUCGCUCAACGGAUAAAAGCUACCCCGGGGAUAACAGGCUUAUCUCCCCCAAGAGUUCACAUCGACGGGGAGGUUUGGCACCUCGAUGUCGGCUCAUCGCAUCCUGGGGCUGUAGUCGGUCCCAAGGGUUGGGCUGUUCGCCCAUUAAAGCGGUACGCGAGCUGGGUUCAGAACGUCGUGAGACAGUUCGGUCCCUAUCCGUCGUGGGCGUAGGAAAUUUGAGAGGAGCUGUCCUUAGUACGAGAGGACCGGGAUGGACAUACCUCUGGUGUACCAGUUGUCGUGCCAACGGCAUAGCUGGGUAGCUAUGUGUGGACGGGAUAAGUGCUGAAAGCAUCUAAGCAUGAAGCCCCCCUCAAGAUGAGAUUUCCCAACUUCGGUUAUAAGAUCCCUCAAAGAUGAUGAGGUUAAUAGGUUCGAGGUGGAAGCAUGGUGACAUGUGGAGCUGACGAAUACUA
rnacentral:rRNA from 1 species